CAUCGGCAGGGCUUCCACUUGUCCCCUAUCUAAUUACUAUGCAAAUGUCUUCACAACCCACAUCCUAAUCUUCGACCCUUGAAUGAUGCAUGGAGUUGCUGUCAUCCUUUUGUCCUAGAAUCACAGUGGCAUCCUGCACGGCCCGACAGACGGAUCUUGAAUGGUCUCUACCAGGCAUGAACACCACAGUUGAUGAGAUUGCCCAGUGGGCUUCGCUAGGAGUUUCUGGACAAUACUCUGAGCUUUCAUGGCUAUUGCUCAUGCAGAUCAUACAUUUGCUGGAUCUACAUAGUUAAAUGGCCUAAAGGUUGAUUUAUUUCUCUAUAGCGGAAUUUGUCAGCUGGUCUGGAAGUCAGCGGACAAACCACUCAUGCACAUCCGCAAACAAACUUAUUUUCCAUAAGAUGUGGUAAUUACUCGAUAAAAGAAGUUAUAUAAUAUAAGCUCGGAGCUGUCAGGAUUCCUCAUGUUCCUAGCGGCAUUUAGCACACUGAGAGUUGAAUAAUUUCCACAUGCUCAAGUUCAAACUUAUAAGAUAUAACCAUCUAAUCUUGAUCCGCUUGUCUGGGAGUUAUGGUGGCAUGCCACCUGUUUGUCUCGAUACAUUAAGCUGGUUGACUUAUAUUGAAGAUUCCAGUUUUCCUUCAGAUCGGAAACCACGGGAGACAAUUUCUGCUUAGUUGGACAAUUUAUACAGCGAAAUGUGCUUGGAAGAAUACUGAUUUGGCAAUGUCCUCUUGCCCUUGUAUAUAUACAAGGUUGAAAUGUUUGAUUUGAACGACUUCUCUGCAGCAGAGUUUGCAUAAGCAACAGAGAAAAGCUUCCUCUAUCAAACAGAGCCAUAAAAAAAAAAGGGGAAUGGCUGAUUCACUUGAGAUUUCUAAAACCACAGGCCACUUUCGCUCAAUCAGCUUGCCUUCCAGAAGUCACCCUCUAGCAACCGCUGUCGAACAGCAGUUGCAGAGGCUGAGAUCAUCAGACGCAACCUCUUCAUCUCCGGCCUCAUCGGCACCCCAAAAGUUAGGAGGCCUCAGAGAUCUGUAUGACUGCAUUGAUGAUUGGCUUUACAUGCCUCUAAACCAGCAGGUUCUUUCCCAUGAACACCAUAGGAGUUCUAUGGAAGAGUUGUCGGAUGGAUCUGUGAAGCUAUUGGACGUCUGUGGGAACGUAAAAGAUAUUUUUUUCACAGACAAAGGAAUGCAUCCAGGAACUCGAGUCAUCAUUCCGGAGAAGGAGAGGAGGAGACCCUGAAAAGGCGAGUGAAGUCUAGACAUACAUCAAAUCUAGGAGAAAAUUGCAGAAAGUGGUCACAAAACUUUUGGAUCUGUUAGAA